ACUGUUUUUUUACUUUAACGAACAAACAUUUUUGUAUUAAAAAAAAGAAUUUUUAUAAUAAUAUAAAAAGAUUAAAAUUUAAGUGGUAAAAGAAUAGGCAGGGCGGUUAAAUCGACAUCGGGGAAUUUCGAAGUCCGGAGGUAACACUGGGAGUCGCUGUGAGGAGGCCGGGCACGUUGUUUCUCCCCUAAUCCUCAAAAAUCCUUACUUGAGUUGUUAGUUGUUUUUUUUUUAUUCUCCCUCGGACAAUAGUUCCAGGUAGGACCGAAGAGCCAUGUCAGGCCGGGAAGGGGGGAAGAAGAAACCGCUCAAGGCGCCGAAAAAGGAGUCUAAAGAGAUGACUGACGAAGACGUCGCUGCGAAGCAGAAACAGAAGGAACAGCAAAAGGCGUUGCAGGAGAUGAAGGCGAAAGCGGCACAGAAGGGACCCCUCGUCGGAGGUGGCAUCAAAAAGUCCGGGAAGAAAUGAAAAAACCCACACCUGUUCACACCCAAUCAUUUAUAUAUAUUUAAAAAUAAAUUUGUUUUUU